rnacentral:rRNA from 1 species
CCUACGGGAGGCAGCAGUGGGGAAUAUUGGACAAUGGGCGAAAGCCUGAUCCAGCCAUGCCGCGUGUGUGAAGAAGGUCUUCGAAUUGUAAAGCACUUUAAGUUGGGAGGAAGGGCAGUAAAUUAAUACUUUGCUGUUUUGACGUUACCGACAGAAUAAGCACCGGCUAACUCUGUGCCAGCAGCCGCGGUAAU